rnacentral:siRNA from 1 species
AUGUCGUUCGGUGUCAGUUGCUGA